rnacentral:rRNA from 1 species
GAUGAACGCUGGCGGCGUGCCUAAUACAUGCAAGUCGAGCGAACGGACGAGAAGCUUGCUUCUCUGAUGUUAGCGGCGGACGGGUGAGUAACACGUGGAUAACCUACCUAUAAGACUGGGAUAACUUCGGGAAACCGGAGCUAAUACCGGAUAAUAUUUUGAACCGCAUGGUUCAAAAGUGAAAGACGGUCUUGCUGUCACUUAUAGAUGGAUCCGCGCUGCAUUAGCUAGUUGGUAAGGUAACGGCUUACCAAGGCAACGAUGCAUAGCCGACCUGAGAGGGUGAUCGGCCACACUGGAACUGAGACACGGUCCAGACUCCUACGGGAGGCAGCAGUAGGGAAUCUUCCGCAAUGGGCGAAAGCCUGACGGAGCAACGCCGCGUGAGUGAUGAAGGUCUUCGGAUCGUAAAACUCUGUUAUUAGGGAAGAACAUAUGUGUAAGUAACUGUGCACAUCUUGACGGUACCUAAUCAGAAAGCCACGGCUAACUACGUGCCAGCAGCCGCGGUAAUACGUAGGUGGCAAGCGUUAUCCGGAAUUAUUGGGCGUAAAGCGCGCGUAGGCGGUUUUUUAAGUCUGAUGUGAAAGCCCACGGCUCAACCGUGGAGGGUCAUUGGAAACUGGAAAACUUGAGUGCAGAAGAGGAAAGUGGAAUUCCAUGUGUAGCGGUGAAAUGCGCAGAGAUAUGGAGGAACACCAGUGGCGAAGGCGACUUUCUGGUCUGUAACUGACGCUGAUGUGCGAAAGCGUGGGGAUCAAACAGGAUUAGAUACCCUGGUAGUCCACGCCGUAAACGAUGAGUGCUAAGUGUUAGGGGGUUUCCGCCCCUUAGUGCUGCAGCUAACGCAUUAAGCACUCCACCUGGGGAGUACGACCGCAAGGUUGAAACUCAAAGGAAUUGACGGGGACCCGCACAAGCGGUGGAGCAUGUGGUUUAAUUCGAAGCAACGCGAAGAACCUUACCAAAUCUUGACAUCCUUUGACAACUCUAGAGAUAGAGCUUUCCCCUUCGGGGGACAAAGUGACAGGUGGUGCAUGGUUGUCGUCAGCUCGUGUCGUGAGAUGUUGGGUUAAGUCCCGCAACGAGCGCAACCCUUAAGCUUAGUUGCCAUCAUUAAGUUGGGCACUCUAAGUUGACUGCCGGUGACAAACCGGAGGAAGGUGGGGAUGACGUCAAAUCAUCAUGCCCCUUAUGAUUUGGGCUACACACGUGCUACAAUGGACAAUACAAAGGGCAGCGAAACCGUGAGGUCAAGCAAAUCCCAUAAAGUUGUUCUCAGUUCGGAUUGUAGUCUGCAACUCGACUACAUGAAGCUGGAAUCGCUAGUAAUCGUAGAUCAGCAUGCUACGGUGAAUACGUUCCCGGGUCU